CGAACGUUGGCGGCGUGCUUAAUACAUGCAAGUCGAGCGAGAAACGGGGGGCAACCCCCGGAGUACAGCGGCGAAAGGGUGCGUAAUACAUGGAGAACGUACCUCCUGGCUCGGGAUAACCCAGGGAAACUUGGGCUAAUACCGGAUGAUGUCCCCAUCGGGAGUCCGUAGGGGAUCAAAGAGAGAUCACCGGGAGAGCGCUCCAUGGCCUAUCAGCUAGUUGGCGGGGUAACGGCCCACCAAGGCAUUGACGGGUAGCCGGACUGAGAGGUCGACCGGCCACAUGGGCACUGAGACACGGGCCCAACAUCUACGGAUGGCAGCAGUAGGGAAUAUUGCGCAAUGGGCGAAAGCCUGACGCAGCGACGCCGCGUGGAGGACGAAGGCCUUCGGGUUGUAAACUCCUUUCGGGGGGGAAGAACACUGACUUAACCCCCAGAAGAAGCACCGGCUAACUCCGU
rnacentral:rRNA from 1 species